AGCGAACGCUGGCGGCAGGCUUAACACAUGCAAGUCGAGCGGGCAUCUUCGGGUGUCAGCGGCGGACGGGUGAGUAACGCGUGGGAACGUGCCUUCUGGUUCGGAAUAACUCAGGGAAACUUGAGCUAAUACCGGAUACGCCCUUUUGGGGAAAGGUUUACUGCCGGAAGAUCGGCCCGCGUCUGAUUAGCUAGUUGGUGGGGUAACGGCCUACCAAGGCGACGAUCAGUAGCUGGUCUGAGAGGAUGAUCAGCCACACUGGGACUGAGACACGGCCCAGACUCCUACGGGAGGCAGCAGUGGGGAAUAUUGGACAAUGGGGGCAACCCUGAUCCAGCCAUGCCGCGUGAGUGAUGAAGGCCUUAGGGUUGUAAAGCUCUUUUAUCCGGGACGAUAAUGACGGUACCGGAGGAAUAAGCCCCGGCUAACUUCGUGCCAGCCGCCGCAGUAA
rnacentral:rRNA from 1 species